UAUAAGAGCUGCUUCUGAUUCCAGAUGCUUAUUUGACAGAGAACAUAUUGCAUAUUAAUAAUUUAUGCACAGGAAUACACUUUUGUUAUGUUGACAGGACAGCAGUAUUGGAUGCAGUGCGCUCAUGAAAUUACAAUUAAUAUUGCUAGGAAUAAACACAAUUUUAUUGCUUUUAAAUAUAGUAUAAAAGUACAAAUCAGUAAUGCUAUUUUCGAAUUAAUCGCGGAAGCAAUUUCAUGUGGUAUUGUUUGUUUGCCAGAUAAGUGAUGAUUCCCUGCUGAAUGCAUUAUAUAAUGUGCAAAUGUUCCAAAUAGCAUUUUUUUUGUCUCCAUUUGUUUUGUUCUGUGUUUAUAUUUAAUCGCCUGUCCUGGUUAAAUGAAAAAGCUUAAUCAAAUGCAUGCUACUCAAUGAGCAAUUGUAAACAAAUGCAUAUUUUAUGGUUAGUUUAUGCAAAGGAACAUUGCAAUCUUGUUAAAUCCAAUCCCCUUCAUUCACUGACAGCUUCAUCUCUGCUUACAGCAGGAGUCUCUGCAAUAAUGAAAAAAACAACACAAAAAACACAGAGGUUUUAGUAUGUGGCGCUUCAGUUAUGAAGGAUGUCUGGGGGAGUCUGAGGGAGUAUCGACAGAAAUGGCAGCUGGAAGAGGAGAGGAUACGGAAGAGUGCUCUGGAAAGAAUCAAUCAGCAUUGGCUGGCACGCAUGUCCUCUGAGAUAAAACCCCCAGAAGACUUGAGAGAAAAGCAAAGCUUCCUGAAGAAUCAGUUUUCAGCCAAGCACUGGAUGGUAAACUCUGGUUUGACCUUGGGUUUGAUGCAAACAACGAUAUGAGCUCCAAUGACCCGUUUCUAUUGGAGAAACUCAGCAAAGAUUUAGACUCUAAACACUUUCAACAAGACUUAGUCACUCCAGAAUGGGAAAAAUCUUGGAUAUUCAGUCAGAAAAGAAAAGAGUGUCAUGAAAACACAAAGAAAAGUGAUUGCAACAAAUUUACCAUCAUGCAGAGGGAUAGAAAUGAGGAAAGUGCAUCAGACUGGAAUAAGUCCUGAAAGUCAACGAAGCCUGUAAAAUAAGAUGUUAAGUCUGAUUUAAUUCAACCCAAAGCUAAUGAGAAAAGACAACCUGAAUUAUCAUGGAAUCAUUCUUGGAUGCAUUUUAAGAAGCAGCUUCAUGUGAAGUCUACAACUAUAAAUAAAUCAGGUUGGAGUGAAUCUUGGAGAGCUGCAAAAACCAUAUCAGAGAAGGAGAUGAAAUCAAUCCAGUCUCAAGAAAUGAUGCAUGAGGAGCUGCAUCUGCAACGUGAUAAUGAAUGUGUCUAGAGAGAUGAAGCACGCAAUUCCAUGGAGCUUUCAGUUCAGUGGGAGGGAUGCACAGCUGUCAGAGUGGGAAAAAUCAUGGACGACCAUAAAAAAUCUGUCGGAGUAUAAAGAAGAGAUAAAUAAAGAGGUGGAAGUGAAGGUUGAGACAUUGAAAACACACGAUCAACAAAGUGAACGUGAAAUUUGACGUACUUGCUUUGCUAAAAAGCCAGAAGCAGCAAGAGGUGUGAAAAUCAAAGGCAGAGAGGAACUUUGCAUUCAGCAGAUCAUUUGAUUCUCAAACCUUCAAAGAACGAUAUCCUGCGAAUGAGUGGAAUGACUCAUGGAGGGUUAAGAAGAGGUUUGAUGGUCCUGGACUUGCAUAUCUUAUGAAAAAAGAAGUGCUAGAUUGAGAUAAUUGUUGAUUGUUCACCAGCACACAGUUUUAUCAAAGACAAGGUGAAAGUUAUUUAAAUUUUCACCUGACGU
ensembl:lncRNA